GUAUUGAUUGCGUGUGACCGCAAAAAUAACAUUCUACACUGUAUCAAGUUUUGUGUGAAAACGUGAGCCCUCCUGCAAAGGGGACCCACGCGGUGAUGCACAAGGGGUGAAAUGGAUGUGUGAGAGUGCUCAGGCGUGCACGACCUUUUGAAAGGUCAGCGACAGCCCUCGCACCCCCGUUGUAUGAUAAUGAUCCUUCCGCAGGUUCACCUACGGAAA
rnacentral:misc_RNA from 1 species